AGAUUUCUCAUGGUUUGGAUUUGGGAAAGUAAAAUCAAGACAAGGUGUUGGCCCAGCUUCAGUUAUCAGCAAUGAUGAUGACUCUGCCAGCCCACUCCACCACAUCUCCAAUGGGAGUAACACCCCAUCAUCCUCGGAGGGCGGCCCCGAUGCUGUCAUUAUUGGAAUGACCAAGAUCCCUGUCAUUGAAAAUCCCCAGUACUUUGGCAUCACCAACAGUCAGCUCAAGCCAGACACAUGGCCCAGAGGUUCCCCCAAGACCGCCUGAUAAUAAUUUGGUAUUUGGAGGCUCCUAUGUCACUGCAGGAACUAAAGGAGGCUAAAUCCAUGCCUGAUGGAGGAGAAGAGUUCUAUGGUUAUCUGCAAAUUCUGGCCAGACAACAUCUUGACGUCACUCCUUAGCUUCCAUAACCUAGCCAAGCAAGAAGUUGCCUUCCAAAGAGAAAGCAGUAUGCUCUAAUGACUAAGCCCUCAAAGUGCUAAAGCCACUUUAACUAUAGACCCAUCUCCUCGAUCAAUCAGGAUGGCAAGAUGGAGCUGAGGAGCUCAGCAACAUCAAGUCUGGAGUUGGUCUUUAAUUCAACUAGUCUGUGUAGACGUGUCUGAAAACCACUUCAUCUGACAGCAUGGGGUGGUUUCCCAGUAGGAUUUACAAACUCGGCUCAAGGGCAGCCAUGUGCUAUCCUCUCCUUGACUACUGGGAAAAACUUUGACAGGGUACAAUGGAAACACACCUUCUGAGUUGAGAAAAAGAGAAAGAAAGAACCACUAACCAGCAACCCCCCCCGACCCCCUGAAUCAUCGAUCUGGGGUUCUUUUGAAGGGUGGGAAUGCGUUAUAGCUUCCCCUGCAAGAAAAACAAAUGGUAUAUACUUAUUGUCAUCUCCAAAUGUGUGUCUUUCUUAGACAGCCUUGUAAAUUAGCUAGGGUCCUAGGCCUGGGGCCAGAAUUAAAUUAGAACUGUCUCUUGAACUGUAUGAGUUUGUCCUUGUAGUGCAUGCCCUCUUUGAGUACCUAGGGCUGUAACUCCCUGUGGCAGAUGCAUAUAAAGAACUCUGACUUGUCCCCUUUGAUUCUGCUUCCAAUGAAAAAUGGAUAUUUAUUGAUUUCCUGCAGAGUGUGCCAUACUUCCCCAGGUAUUAUAGUUCACGCGUGUGUGUGUACGCACGUGUGUCUUCUCAUUGGUUUCAUGCCUAUUAGGCAAUGAUGUAGAUAAGCACAGAUUCCUAGACCAGCUAAGACUAGGGAAAUAAGACAUAAUAAGGAGAGGGAGCGUGUUUAACUGUAGUUGAAAAGAUCACACAGGCACUCCGCCUGCUCCCCUUAACUGCCAUACACACACUAUCAUCAUGUUGCCAAUAAGGGGAGGAUUGGAGGCAAUACUUUCCACAGAAAUGCAGAGAUUUUGAAUGUAUUUGCAACGUUAUUUUGAGUACACACGAGCACAAAUUCUGACUUACAUCCAGGACCCCGGGAGCUCAUUAGAUCAAAGGAUGAGGGUCCUGAGAGUUACCCAGGCUUAUCUUCAAGCCUCGCUACAGCCUGGGCCUGUGGUCCAUUUCGAUGGUCAGGGACAGGAUUUAACACCAGGUAGAAACAAUUGCUCUGGCACUCUUCUCUAUCUUUUGCCUAUUAAUUUUGUCUUUCAAAAGUAUAUUUUCUUCUAAGCAUUUAAUCGGCCAAGUAAUAGCUGCUUUGGGAACUGUUUAUAUCCCUUUGAAGGCUGUGACCUGCACUUUAAAAAUAAGCUUAGCCCAUUCUGCCCAGCAUGAGUGUUAGGACGGAGGGAGAAUGCAGUUAUUUUAGGAUCCUUAGAAAAGGCUUCGUUUACAGCACACUGGGUUGACAACUCGUCCCUCGGGGGUCUUCAUGGCUCGAAUCUGUAGGUCCCAGUCUAAUUCUGUUUCCCUCUCGGUGCCAUAGUUCCCCAUUGCUAGCUAGAACAGCUUGAUAUCAUAUUCUCUUUUCAACUCCAGAGGAGAUGGCAAGAAGCUAUCAAAUAAUGCUUUAAAAAGCAACUUGAGUUCCCUAGAAGAAAGGAAAUGAAUACAUGCUGCAUAAUUACAUUUAAAAUGUAAGCCAUGUUACAAAUUCCACUGAAAUGAAGAUUCGUUAGCAAAUCCCGUUCCAAGCACACUUAAAACUAAGUGAGAUGAGAGAUGUCAUUUUAUUAGCAUUUGACCCCUGGGUGAUAUUAUUUGUUCUCAAAAAAGAAAUGCCAGCCAGUCAUAGGCUACCUGGACCUUCUAGGGAAACCACUCCAAGCCUACAUUGAAUGGCUAACAGGGAAAAAUGACCAUGGAUUGAGGGGGAGACACGCUUAAUGAUGUUCUCAGAACUGUUUUUACUCCCACACCAUCAGCCAGCCUGAGAUGGAACUAGGCAUGCCCCCCACCUCAGACAUUUCCCUCCAAUUUCUCCAAAUCAUCCGUGAUGUCCUGGGAGCCUGCCAGCAGAGGCAGGAUCCUAAUGCAUUUGUUCUGGACAUUGACCCAGGCCCAGCCCCCUGGAGCGUGGGUACCAACAGGAGGAAUUGAAUCAAACUGCACCCCCAGUUUGGUUUCCAUUUGGCCACCCUUGCACAUGCCAGCAGAUUGUGGACCAGGACCAGCUCAGCAAACACAAAUGUAGGGGAGCCUCUUACGUUGCUAAGAAGCCCCUGCUACCCAGAUGCUGGGAACAACUGAGUGCUCCCUAUGGUUAAGUAGAGACAGCUUGAUGGGAGUUUUUCUGGGGUGUGAGGCUCAAUCCUGUAUGGCAGCUCUUCUAACAGAGUGCAGGUUUCCUCCUUGUGAAGUGCAGAUUUUCUCCGUCUUCGCUCAUUCUGCCAGUCUGAGAGGGUGACCCACCAUGGCUGAGCUUCGUCUCAGAUUACCCAUAGGCCCACUCUCCAUGUUCUCCUUACGUUCGCCAAUGUUGUGGUUGCUCGUUUGUUUGAGUGUCCUUUUCCUUGGGUGUUGUCACUUCUCUUGAAAAGCGGGUAAGAUGAAUUUGCUCCAUACCACGGACAGGAAAGAACUGGAAUGAGACCUGCUUCUUCGUUCAACCUGAUAGCCAAGCACAAAGGUCUUCUUGCUGCGAGGCUCAGCCCCUAAGCAGGACCCCCCUUAGGGAUCCAUGUUGGAUCCCUGCUGCCCUCUCUCUGAGCCUGCUCCCUUUUGCUGAGAGAAGGCUGUGUCUUUUGGAAUGCUUGAGCUCCUCAAAGAGGGGAAACUUAGAAGGCAGUCCUUGUGCCUAAAGGAAAAAGGAAUGUGGGUAUUAGAGUGACCACCAGGACUGAGAGGAUUCCUAGGAACAGGACUGUCCCAGACAAAGCACAAUGGAUCGGUCACCCUAGGUGGUAUAGGCCUGAUGAUUUCUGCUGGUAAGACAGAAUUAAGUCUUAGUUACCCCCAAGAGCCUUCAGCUGCCCUAAAAUGAGGUACUUUAAAAUAAAAAAGAAAUAAUAGAGAUUACAGUAGGAAAUUUGGAAAACAUAAGAGAUAAGGAUGAAAUAAGGAUCAAAUUAAAAAUCACCCGUAAGUCCAACAGUUAGAGAUAGCAGCUGAUAUCAUUGGAAUAUAUAAAUAUGGCUUUCCAGUCCUGUGAAUAUCCUUUUAAUGUCCUGUGAUAUGCAGUCUGUUUUUGCCUCUGCCUUUAUUCGUACUGGGCUUUGUUCAUCUUUCCGUGGUAACAGUUCACCCUGGGUAGAUUGUGCUGGAAAGUCGUAGGAAGCACGCUGAGUAUAUUAUUGCCAGUUUCAGAUUUCCUAUUUACUUGGUGGUACCUGGGGGCUAAGAUAGGCUGGGGGGCCGAACAUGGCUGGCCACUUCAGGUCUGGUCUGUAGGGACCCUAAACCCAGAGGUGUUCAGCUCUCACAUGGUGAGUGUCAUUGAGGAAAUGAGGACCGUGUCGUGAGCUGGGAAGACUCCAGAAGUAAGAGGCUCCUUGUUCUGCAAAGGCAGGUGGACGGCACUGGUUUCGGGUCAACACUUUCGAUGACUCCAAAUGUGGUUUAUCGCUCAGCUGAAGCAGAUGAUCACAUUUUGUCCCCUAGUUGCCGGCCCUGGCCGCCUGGCUCCUCUCAGGGACCUGAGUACACUGCAUCUUAAGGACCAGGCUGCUUAUCUCUAGUAUGUUUCUCGUUAUUUAGGGGCUGCCUUUCUUCCACCCAGGAUCCCCCAUGCUGUGCAAGGGCCUCUGAUAAGUUGGAAUGUCCCCUUAGUCGUUCAGCCAUACCGAAACUUGAUGGAGUUAGCUGCCCAAUGCUCUCCAGACUUUUUAUCCUGAAAGGCUUCCUCUUUGGGUGCCUCAGGUAUCGAGGCCUACACUGGGUUUCUGGCAAGGGGACCUCUAUCAAUAGUGUGACAUAGGGAGUAUGUCAGUGUUGGUAUUAACAUUGAGAGAUUCUAAAAAUGAGUUCAGAACAGAUAGAUUCCUGUAAUUUGUAAGAGAUUAGAUUGGUGUGAGCUUGAACCGAAACAGGGGUGGUAGGGAGGGGAGAAUUCUAGGAAGAAAACAAAAAUCUAAUGCUAAUGCCUAGUGUCUAAAUUACUCUUAUCAGUUACUGUACAUGCUAUGAAUAUGGGUAGACAUCAACAUUCUCUAUCCUGUUGUUAUUACUUCGCACAUUUAUUAAACCAUGCCGUUGACCUUCUGGGUGUGUUAAAGCGGAAACCAAGAUCAUUAUUAGGUAAUGAUGACAUGUAGACUGAGUCCCAUAGUCCUAAAGUUCCAAUAAAGUGGUUGAUAUAGAGGGGACAGGAUAAAAUCCUAUGCUACCCUAAUGAUAUCAAAAGAGUUAGUCUCCAUGUUAGAGAAUGCCUUUACUAGAGGAGAUUACGUGAUAUGUCCACUGGUCAAAUAAGCAGAGACAGAACCAUGGAGCAGCCACCUGAGUUGUCUUCCUGCAGGAAAGGGUGGAUGUCCAUGUCCGUUUCUACCCUCACACCGGGUAUUCAUUCCCACCCCUGCUCCUGACCACGGCUCACUUUCAGAGUAACAGAAGUUGGCCUUCUGUCUGCGGCUAAAAGAACAGAGAGAAAUUAACUUGUUACCUGGAGAGACAAGACUCAGAUUCUUAACUUUCUAUUAAUUGAGCACUAACUGGUCUCAUACUGUCUCUCUCCUGGUUUACUCCCUCUGAACCAUAAAUAUCCAUCCCUCUGCCCCUCUCAAGCUCCCACUCUCCCUCUUCUUCUCGGGGUUCAGGAACCAUGAUGCUAAUGAUUACACUUCUUCCCAGUUCCAACUUCCAUCAGCGCCAUUUGCUGAUACCCACAGAAGCAGAUCUGCAUCUGUCUCCCUGCUGGAGCCUUAUUGAGAGAGGCCGUUUGUUUCUUUCUAAGGGUGUUUCUCUCCCUCCUGAGAGCUUUUGUUUGCCUUUACAUAUAAGGUUUUAGUUUUCCUUGAGCCCUGUCUAGACUUUUAUCAACAUUGGUUUUGGAAGAGGAGAAUACUCAUUUCAUUUGUAAGAUAUUGGCGAUGGGUCGCUCUGCCUUAGAUUCCUGAACUCUUGAGUUUGGGGAGGGAGAGGAUGGCCAAGUAGCAAAGGCAGUAAGAUUGCCCCUCACUUCCUGAAUCGUGCUUCUCUUCUGGGCUUCAUGUACUCUCUGCCCUUUCCUACACAUUGCACCCCAAGUUCCAGUUGAAGUAGAUCCUGGCCAGAUUUGGGUCUAAUAGCUGACACGUGGGUACGGUCCUUGGUGUCAACACCUCAAUGCAUCUUUUGUUCUCUUGAAGAGAUCUGUGUUACUGAGAGCGGAGCUUCUGUGUGUGGGCAGAGCUCUGGGAGAGGUUGAUGGGUGGGGGGUGAAUUCAUGGAGCCCACAACCUCUGCCCACUUUUGAAGGAAGGAACUUGGGUGAGAUGGAUGCUGGUUCCAUGCCAGGUCUGAGUGUUGCACCCAUCCCCUCUUGGAGGUGUCCCUGCUUCCCCACCAUGGGCAGUGAGCCUUUGGCAGCCGGUCUCAGCCCUUCGGCCCUCUGAUGCUGCACCACCGUCUGUGGGGAUGGGUUCGGAGGGGUCUCUGUGGACUGCUACGCAUUGCUCCACUUUAUUUUCCUCUCUCCUCGGAUGCAAGAGAGCAGACCUAAAACAUGACUUGCAUUCUUUUAGUCUGCUCAGAGACUCCAGGGCUUGUCAAUGGAUGAGUGAGCAGUGGAGCUUGGAAUUCUCUAUUAUAUAGCCCUGUACAUGGAAAUGAGAUCUGUUGUACUGGAAUUUGUGAUGUAGUUGAUAAUUCAGAGCCAAACACAUUUACCA